CUUCUAGUCCCUGGGGCUACAGUCUAUUGUACUGAGGUAGGCUGUAGAGGUGAGAUAGGCUGUAGUGGUGAGAUAGGCUGUAGUGGUGAGAUAGGCUGUAUGGUGAGAUAGGCUGUAGUGGUGAGAUAGGCUGUAGUGGUGAGAUAGGCUGUAGUGGUGAGAUAGGCUGUAGUGGUGAGAUAGGCUGUAGUGGUGAGAUAGGCUGUAGUGGUGAGAUAGGCUG